AACGAACGCUGGCGGCAGGCCUAAUACAUGCAAGUCGAGCGCGCCCUUCGGGGUGAGCGGCGGACGGGUGAGUAACGCGUGGGAAUAUGCCCUUCUCUAAGGAAUAGCCUCUGGAAACGGAGAGUAAUACCUUAUACGCCCUUUGGGGGAAAGAUUUAUCGGAGAAGGAUUAGCCCGCGUUAGAUUAGGUAGUUGGUGGGGUAAUGGCCUACCAAGCCUACGAUCUAUAGCUGGUUUGAGAGGAUGAUCAGCCACACUGGGACUGAGACACGGCCCAGACUCCUACGGGAGGCAGCAGUAGGGAAUCUUAGACAAUGGGGGCAACCCUGAUCUAGCCAUGCCGCGUGUGUGAUGAAGGCCCUAGGGUCGUAAAGCACUUUCGCCAGAAAUGAUAAUGACAGUAUCUGGUAAAGAAACCCCGGCUAACUCCGUGCCAGCAGCCGCGGUAAUACGGAGGGGGUUAGCGUUGUUCGGAAUUACUGGGCGUAAAGCGCACGUAGGCGGAUUAGUAAGUUAGAGGUGAAAUCCCAGGGCUCAACCCUGGAACUGCCUUUAAUACUGCUAGUCUUGAGUUCGAGAGAGGUAAGUGGAAUUCCGAGUGUAGAGGUGAAAUUCGUAGAUAUUCGGAGGAACACCAGUGGCGAAGGCGGCUUACUGGCUCGAUACUGACGCUGAGGUGCGAAAGUGUGGGGAGCAAACAGGAUUAGAUACCCUGGUAGUCCACACCGUAAACGAUGAAUGCCAGACGUCAGCAAGUAUACUUGUUGGUGUCACACCUAACGGAUUAAGCAUUCCGCCUGGGGAGUACGGUCGCAAGAUUAAAACUCAAAGGAAUUGACGGGGGCC
rnacentral:rRNA from 1 species